GUGAGGAAUAUUGCGCAAUGGAGGCAACUCUGACGCAGCCAUGCCGCGUGCAGGAAGAAGGCGCUACGCGUUGUAAACUGCUUUUAACCGGGAAGAAACCCCAGGACGUGUCCUGGGUUGACGGUACCGGAGGAAUAAGCACCGGCUAACUUCGUGCCAGCAGCCGCGGUAAUUCGAAGGGUGCAAGCGUUAUCCGGAUUCAUUGGGUUUAAAGGGUGCGUAGGCGGAGCGUUAAGUCAGUGGUGAAAUCCUGCAGCUUAACUGUAGACUUGCCAUUGAUACUGGCGCUCUUGAGUGCGCUUGAAGUGGGCGGAAUGUGCCGUGUAGCGGUGAAAUGCUUAGAUAUGGCACAGAACACCAAUUGUGAAGGCAGCUCACUAAGGCGAUACUGACGCUGAGGCACGAAAGCGUGGGGAUCGAACAGGAUUAGAAACCCGGGUAGUCC
rnacentral:rRNA from 1 species